GACUGAGCCUCUCCUUUGUGUAACAGGCAGCAAGGAAGGUUUUAACAGGACUGUGUGACCAGUCUAGAUGUAAAUUUCAGAGAUACAGGAGGACUAUGAGGAGGAAGAAAAGCAGGAGGGAACAAUGGCUUCUGAUUUCACCGUACAAGUGCUCGCUCUGUGCCCCAGGGGAAUCCCAUGGCCAGCUGUGAAGGCAGGAAGAGGAGAAUCAAGCAUGAAGCCAGCCUCCAGGGCAGCAGCUGAUGCUGAGCAAGUGGGUGAGGGAUCGACACAGCCGGCCGGCCGCUCACAUCCACCUAUCCAUCCAUCACUCACGUAUACACCCAUUUCUCCCAACUGCUCCUUCUCUUUAAGGAGUUCUCUUUAUAUUAUUUUAAUUUUUAAGACUGGGUCUCUCUAUGUAGCCUUGGCUCUCCUGGCAGUCUCCAUGCAGAGCAGGCUGGCCUCGAACUCACAGAGAUCUGCCUGCCUUUGCCAACCAAGUGCUGGGGUUAAUGGUGUGUGCCACCAUACCCAGACCAAAGAUUUAUUUUCCCUGCCCCCACACUCCCCGGCUCUGAGGGUCUUACACUUGUUAGGCAAUCAAUCAGUCUAUCACUGAGCUAAAGCCCCAACCCCAAGAUUUCUGUUUUUAUUAAAAAAAUAUUAAUUUUA
ensembl:antisense Gm13012 predicted gene 13012